GAUGAACGCUGGCGGUAUGCCUAACACAUGCAAGUCGUACGAGAGUUUUUAACUCUAGUGGCGGACGGGUGAGUAACACGUGAGAAUUUGCCUUUAGGAGGGGGACAACAAUUGGAAACGAAUGCUAAUACCCCAUAUGCUUUCGAGUGAAAUGGAUUUUAUCCGCCUAGAGAGAAGCUCGCGGCUGAUUAGCUUGUUGGUAAGGUAAGAGCUUACCAAGGCGACGAUCAGUAUCUGGUUUGAGAGGACGAUCAGACACACUGGAACUGAGACACGGUCCAGACUCCUACGGGAGGCAGCAGUGGGGAAUUUUCCGCAAUGGGCGAAAGCCUGACGGAGCAAUACCGCGUGAGGGAAGAAUGCCUAUGGGUUGUAAACCUCUUUUUUCAGGGAGGAAUAAAAUGACGUGUACCUGAAGAGUAAGCAUCGGCUAACUCCGUG
rnacentral:rRNA from 1 species